ACUGCAGCCUGAAUUACUUUACAUUGCAGAAUAUGAUGAAUGGAGAGCUAUGAGAUAUGAUUAGUAUCUCCCUCUUUUGGGGAACAGCAACACCCCUUAAGAGCCAUUCUGUU
rnacentral:snoRNA from 1 species